AUCUUGCGCAAUGGGCGAAAGCCUGACGCAGCAACGCCGCGUGAGUGAUGAAGGUCUUCGGAUCGUAAAGCUCUUUCGGCAGGGAAGAACGGCCCGGGUGUGAACAAUGCCUGGGCGUGACGGUACCUGCAGAAGAAGCACCGGCUAACUCUGUGACAGUAGCCGCGGUAAUACAGAGGGUGCGAGCGUUGUUCGGAAUUAUUGGGCGUAAAGCGCGUGUAGGCGGGAUGGCAAGUCGGGUGUGAAAGCCCUCAGCUCAACUGAGGAAGUGCGCCCGAAACUACUGUUCUUGAGUAUCGGAGAGGGUGGCGGAAUUCCCGGUGUAGAGGUGAAAUUCGUAGAUAUCGGGAGGAACACCAGUGGCGAAGGCGGCCACCUGGCCGAAUACUGACGCUGAGACGCGAAAGCGUGGGGAGCAAACAGG
rnacentral:rRNA from 1 species